GGUGGCUCAGUGGUAGAGCACUUGCCUUGCAAGCAUGAGACCCUGGGUUCGAUUCCUCAGCACCA
rnacentral:tRNA from 1 species